ACUUAUCAAAUUAAAUAGCUCUGGUCUCCAGUAUAUUGGCGAAUUCAGUUAUUUGUCCUUAAUUUAUUAGCAUGAUUUCUUUUUUAAUAUGUUGUGUACAGACUUACUUACUUCUCUGUCUACUUUUCUUACUCCAUGUAGGUUUCCCAGGGACUAUGGGAUGAGGAGGAAGUGGAAGUUUGUCGGUUUAGACCUGGUGUCAUUCCAUCAGUGUUUAACUUCCCGGCUCAUCUUGGAAGAGUACGUGCCAGAAAGACCACGACCAAGCAGCCUUGAGAUCUUAGGCAGCGUCUCCCUGAGGUCCCUCUCUAUCUCCCCACACAUCCACCAACCACUGGAACACAUCUCCAAAGUUCUGCUGGGCCAGCUCAGCUUCCCCUCAGAAGAAGUUCCGCCACCUGCCAGAUGAAGGAGCCUUUUGAGAGGCAGCUGGCAUCGUGAUUGGACUGUACUUUGGUCUGUUCCAAUCCAGCUUCAGCUCCAGAGACGGCAGGCGGGACGAGUCAACGGAGGCCUGGUGGACGAAGGCAUGCAGCUGAGUACAAUCCAGAAAACAACAGAGGAGGAGUGCAGCAGCCAGAACAACCAGAGUAGCAUCGUAUGUCUCUUAGAAAACAUCAUAGUAUAGCCUUUGGUAUGAAAAAACGCCAUCAUAUACAUUGUAUAUUGUACAAAUAAGUCAAAGGAAAGAGACAUCAACUGUAGAAUUGUAGUAAUUGUGGGCUGACUGAUAUACUGAUUAGCAGUAUUUUAUUUUUUACUGAUUUACGGUAAUAAAUACAUUUAAAAAUGGUGCUACUUUGGCUCUGAACCUUUAUCUACCUGUGGUCGCUCUGUCUUCUGGAGUGAUUUGAUUGGUUAUACGUCACGAAUAAA
ensembl:lncRNA